GCAGCCGCGGUAAUACGGAAGGUCCGGGCGUUAUCCGGAUUUAUUGGGUUUAAAGGGAGCGUAGGCCGUCUUAUAAGCGUGUUGUGAAAUGUCGGGGCUCAACCUGGGCAUUGCAGCGCGAACUGUGAGACUUGAGUGCGCAGGAAGUAGGCGGAAUUCGUCGUGUAGCGGUGAAAUGCUUAGAUAUGACGAAGAACUCCGAUUGCGAAGGCAGCCUGCUGUAGCGCAACUGACGCUGAAGCUCGAAAGCGUGGGUAUCGAACAGGAUUAGAUACCCC
rnacentral:rRNA from 1 species